GCUCUGUGUGCCCCCCCCAUCUGCGCUGUGCCCUUGCCUCGCGGCUGCUCCUGCACUUGACUCUCCCUCUCCUGUUGGUCGGUUUUCCCAUUGGCCGUGCGGCUCCCUGGUGUGCGGAUGGCUCUUGAGUCUUCUUCUCGUGAACCAAACCCCUUCCUUGCCCCAUGUCCUCCUCCAGCUAUGACUCCCUUUCUCUGCCCCUUCUUCCUUCUGUCUCUCUUCCUGUUUUACCUCGGUCAGGUUUUUGCCCCCCAACAUUCCACCCAAAUGCUCUUCUUGAGGACAGGAUGAUGCUCCUGAAAGUGGUCAGUCCGCAGCGAACCCCACUGCCUUGAGACACUCCCUUCACUUGUGUCCUGUGACACCAUCCUCUGGGCCCUCCCCACCCCUCGCUGCACGUCCUCACAUGCCUGCGCUGUCUUCUCUAGUCUUGGGGGCUUUUUGUUCUUUUAUGUCACCAGCCAGCCCUCCAGAGGUCGUGUGGCUUCACAGACGGUCUCCAUGCUCCUGUCCCCACACGGCUGCCCUCCCCAGGCCUCUCCCUGAGGCCAUCUCGGGUAGUCACCUCCCGGAGCUCUCUUCGCAUGUCUGGGAGGCAGUUCAAAGAUACGAUUCCAGCCGCAAAAUGAAAUGCUGCAUCUUGGCCUUGGAGCCCCAGACAAGCCCCAGACCUGCCUUACUAAGCCAGCCUUCCGAAGUCAGUUGACAGUGAUGUCCCCCUGGCACUUGUUCAGUGACAGCCCAGAACUUGGAGGUUUUCUCCAUUUCCGUUUCUCACGUUUAUCCUUGAGUCCACGAUGGCUGCUGGGGCUGCGGCCUUCGCAAUCGGGAGGAGGGCAAGGGGGAACAGUGCCGCCCUGCGUGGCCAGCUCCCUGCAUGGGCCCUUGGCAGAGUGUUUGCCUUCAGCUCAUUACCCAGAGCGUGGGGCUGGCCAUUUCUAGCUUAGAAGGAGCCUGAAAAAUACAUACGUGUGUGUGCGUGUGCGUGUGUGUGUGCGUGUGUGCAUGUGUGUGCGCGUGUGUGUAUGUGUGUGUAUGUGUGCGUGUGUGCGUAUAUGUGUGUGUGCAUGUGCGUGUGUGUGUAUGUGUGUGUGGUGUGUAUGGAGAGAGAGUGUGCACCUGUGUGUGGGCUCAUUGCUGCCCUAAAUAAAAUUGGGAUGUGGUUCCUUUUGCCCUUUGUCCUUUGCCUGCCUGGUUUCCUUUGCAGCACUCGUCACAGUCUGACGUGGUCGCCUGCGUCUCUUUGUGCUUUGGUUGGGCGUCUCCUUUAGAGCGUCUGCUCUGUGAGGGUAGGGGCCAGCCUUUGUCGUCGUUCACUUCACACGCAUGAGUGCCUGGCACAGGAGUCACAGUCAAUGGCUGUUGGCCCAACCAAUUUCUACCCCGUCUGUCUGGGAAAUUCCUAAACUUUGCCUCUCACUUUCUGUCCACUUGCUGCAUUCCGGAGUACGCCUUGGUCUCACAGCCUGUGCCCUCAUCUGGGUGUGUUCAGCCUCUUGCAUUUCCUUUCUGCCUCCCCUCCACCCCUUGCAAUGUAGCCCCUGCCCCUGCCCUUCUCUCCUUCCCAUUGUUCUAGAACAUUCCAGCAUGGAAACCCCGCUGUGAAAGGCCCCUGCACUGGCCACAGAAGCGGCACCUAACUGCUGAGGAACCUGGUUGCUGGCCUGGAGUGGGUGCGGAGUACUGCCUGGCAGCAUGGCCAUGCUUCUGGAGGCAUUUUAGCACCCUGUACACCAGCAAAUUCUGUCAGAGAAGCACGGCAAAAGCUGGAGAAGGUUUGAGGAAGCACAUCCUGAAGCUGAUGGCACAGUGUGGGGGCAGCGGGCAAGCAGGUGCAGACGUUUCACGCAUGUCUCCACUCACGCUACUUGCUACGUUCUGUUUCAGUGAUGAAAUCAGGGAGGAUUACUUCUGAAGAUGGAGAGAACAGGGCGCUCUCAGCAUGCACAUACCUGGGAAGGACCACGUGAGGACAUCACCAGGAAGAAGGUCGUCACCAGGAACCCCACCGUGCUGGCACCUUGAGGUCAGACAUGCAGCCCUCACAACUGUGAGAAAUCAGUGUUUGCUGUUUCAGUCGCCCAGUCUGUGGUAUUUGUUACAGCAGCCCAAGCUGACUAAGACAGCUGCUCAGAACAGGGAGAAAAUCUUUGCCAGUCAUACAUCUGUUAAGGGUUUAGUAUGGAGAAUAGGUUAGGAACUCUUCUAGUUCAUUAAUACAAAGGCAAAA